rnacentral:rRNA from 1 species
GUGAGGAAUUUUCCGCAAUGGGCGAAAGCCUGACGGAGCAAUGCCGCGUGAAGGAUGAAGGCCCAUGGGUUGUAAACUUCUUUUCUCAGAAAAGAAUUAUGACGGUAUCUGAGGAAUAAGCAUCGGCUAACUCUGUGCCAGCAGCCGCGGUAAGACAGAGGAUGCAAGCGUUAUCCGGAAUGAUUGGGCGUAAAGCGUCUGUAGGUUGUUUAAAAAGUAUUCUGUCAAAGAUUAGGGCUUAACCCUAGAUAGGCAGAAUAAACUUUUAAGCUAGAGUUUGGUAGAGGCAGAGGGAAUUCCCGGUGGAGCGGUGAAAUGCGUAGAUAUCGGGAGGAACACCAAAGGCGAAGGCACUCUGCUGGGCCAAUACUAACACUGAGAGACGAAAGCGAGGGGAGCAAAUGGGAUUAGAAACCCGGGUAGUCC